rnacentral:rRNA from 1 species
UACGUAGGGGGCAAGCGUUGUCCGGAAUUAUUGGGCGUAAAGAGCGUGUAGGCGGUCCGGUAAGUCAGCUGUGAAAGUCAAGGGCUCAACCCUUGAAUGCCGGUUGAUACUGUCGGGCUAGAGUCCGGAAGAGGCGAGUGGAAUUCCCGGUGUAGCGGUGAAAUGCGCAGAUAUCGGGAGGAACACCAAUGGCGAAGGCAGCUAGCUGGGACGGUACUGACGCUGAGACGCGAAAGCGUGGGGAGCAAACAGG